AACGCACCUUGCGCCCCUUGGCAUUCCGAGGGGCACGCCUGUUUGAGUGUCGUGAACUCCUCCACUCCUCACCUUUUUCGAAGGGUUGUUGAGCUGGGACUUGGGAGCUUGCGGGUCCCCUGGCCGAUCCGCUCUCCUUGAAUGCAUUAGCGAAGCCCUUUGCGGCCUUGGUGUGAUAGUCAUCUACGCCUUGGCUUAGCGAACCUAAUGGGAGUCGCUUCCAACCGUCUCGCAAGAGACAACACAUACCAACUUGACCUCAAAUCAGGCGGGACUACCCGCUGAACUUAA
rnacentral:misc_RNA from 2 species